rnacentral:lncRNA from 1 species
CUUGAGUCGUGCUGGGCACUGUCUUAAGAAACUAUUUUAGCAGUGUGACAUAUUUUUUCAGGAUUAAACAAGCCUACCUCCAUUAGGGAGGAUACAGGAAUCAGCAAAAUUAAAUAUUACAAAACCCAGCUAGAAGGAAAAAGGAAGACCAACUAAUGUGAAAUAUUAAUUAAAUAUUAUAGGAGAGGGUUUGGAAGAAAGAGAGAGACAUAUG